GACAGAGGGUGCAAACGUUGUUCGGAAUUACUGGGCGUAAAGCGUGUGUAGGCGGCCAUGUAAGUCAGGUGUGAAAGCCCCGGGCUCAACCCGGGAAGUGCACUUGAUACUGCGUGGCUUGAGUACUGGAGAGGUUGGUGGAAUUCUCGGUGUAGAGGUGAAAUUCGUAGAUAUCGAGAGGAACACCGGUGGCGAAGGCGGCCAACUGGACAGAUACUGACGUGAGACACGAAAGCGUGGGGAGCAAACAGG
rnacentral:rRNA from 1 species